UACGUAUGGUGCAAGCGUUAUCCGGAUUUACUGGGUGUAAGGGGAGCGCAGGCGGCGCGUUAAGCCUGGUGUGAAAGCCCGCGGCCCAACCGCGGGGCUGCAUUGGGAACUGGCGCGCUGGAGUGCCGGAGGGGUAGGCGGAAUUCCUAGUGUAGCGGUGAAACGCGUAGAUAUUAGGAGGAACACCAGUGGCGAAGGCGGCCUACUGGACGGUGACUGACGCUGAGGCUCGAAAGCGUGGGGAGCAAACAGG
rnacentral:rRNA from 1 species